AAUUUGUAAACAAUAGAAUUGUGAUUUUCCUUAAAAUGCCAAUUCUUAUUUCCCCGAAAAAGAGUGAAACUUUCUGGUGACAAAUAAGGAGCAAGAGAGAAUCAAUUAAUUCAUACACAAAUGUAGUUUCCCCAUGGCUGUUAAAACUGGCAAAACCCAAAGGAGGAGAAGAUAAUAACAAGGUAAAGAAGAAAGUCACAGAUCUUAAAU
rnacentral:misc_RNA from 1 species